rnacentral:rRNA from 1 species
CUGAACUUAAGCAUAUCAAUAAGCGGAGGAAAAGAAACUAACAAGGAUUCCCCUAGUAACGGCGAGUGAAGAGGGAAAAGCUCAAAUUUUGAAUCUGAUGUCUUUGACGUCCGAGUUGUAAUCUAGAGAAGUGUUUUCUGCCUUGGACCACACAUAAAUUCCCUGGAAUGGGGUGUCAUAGAGGGUGAGAAUCCCGUUUGUGGUGUGGACUACCUUGGCUCUGUGAUACACUCUCAACGAGUCGAGUUGUUUGGGAAUGCAGCUCAAAAUGGGUGGUAAAUUCCAUCUAAAGCUAAAUACUGGCGAGAGACCGAUAGCGAACAAGUACCGUGAGGGAAAGAUGAAAAGCACUUUGGAAAGAGAGUGAAACAGUACGUGAAAUUGUUGAAAGGGAAGCGUUUGAAGUCAGUCACAUUGGUCGGAAUUCAGCCUGGCUUCUGCCUGGUGUACUUUCUGGCAAAUGGGUCAGCAUCAAUUUUGAUUGAGGGAGAAAGACUUGAGGAAUGUGGCUGUCUUCGGGCAGUGUUAUAGCCUCUUGUUGUAUGUCUCAAUUGGGAUUGAGGAAU